rnacentral:rRNA from 1 species
GUGGCGCACGGCUGAGUAACACGUGGGAACCCGCCCCCCGGUGGGGGAUAACGCGACGAAAGUUGCGCUAAUCCCGCAUACGUCCUUCGGGGGAAAGCGCAGUGCGCGCCGGGGGAGGGGCCUGCGGCCAUCAGGUCGUUGGUGGGGUAAGGGCCUACCAAGCCGAUGACGGGUAGCUGGUCUGGGAGGAUGACCAGCCAGACUGGGACUGAGACAAGGCCCAGACUCUACGGGAGGCAGCACCAAGGAAUUUUCGAAUGGGCGCAAGCUUGACCGAGCAACGCCGCGUGCGGGAUGACGGCCUUCGGGUUGUAAACCGCUUUUCGGGGGGACGAUGAUGACGUACCCCCGGAACAAGCCCCGGCUAACUCUGUGCCAGCAGCCGCGGUAAGACAGAGGGGGCGAGCGUUGUCCGGAGUCACUGGGCGUAAAGCGCGCGCAGGCGGCAACCUAAGUGUCGUGUGAAAGCCCCCGGCUCAACCGGGGGAGGCCAUGGCAAACUAGGUCGCUCGAGCUGCGGAGAGGCCCCUCGAAUUGCCGGUGUAGCGGUGAAAUGCGUAGAGAUCGGCAGGAAGACCAAGGGGGAAGCCAGGGGGCUGGCCGCAGCUGACGCUGAGGCGCGACAGCGUGGGGAGCAAACCGGAUUAGAUACCCGGGUAGUCCACGCCGUAAACGAUGACCACUCGGCGUGUGGCGACUAUUGACGUCGCGGCGCGCCCUAGCUCACGCGAUAAGUGGUCCGCCUGGGAACUACGAGCGCAAGCUUAAAACUCAAAGGAAUUGACGGGGGCCCGCACAAGCAGCGGAGCGUGUGGUUUAAUUCGACGCAACCCGAAGAACCUUACCCAGACUGGACAUGACGGUGCAGACGGCGGAAACGUCGUCGCCUCCGAGGGCCCGUCAAGGGCG